UAGACUGCUAGUCAGAAAGUGCCCAAAUCUACAGAUGUGUGAGCAGAACUAGGAAAUGAGAACACAUACCACGAGCUGACAUUCAUUUUGACAGCCACACUGUCUUUGGCUUCAUAUUGGCUUUGUGAACAGAGGAACACUUGGUGCACAGUGAAUCCCUACAGAAGUUGAAUUCACCCAAAGCCAAAAUUCAUUCCAUUAUGCCUGCAAGAGUAAAAUGGGUUGAGGUUACCAAAGUUUCAUACCACUGCAACUCCCAGGCUGCUGUGAGCUUUAUGAAGCAGCUGUACAGCUUUCUUCUCUAUCUACUCAUCUGCCACCAUACAGCAUAAUGGUGCCAGGCUUUUUGCAAAGCAUACAGUUAUUUGUGCAGUUUUGUAUUCUUCUAAUCUAAUGCAUUUCUAAUGAACUCUUCACUGUGAAAUUGGUGCAUUCUUAAAUAUGAAAAGAGUAAAUCUUUGGAAUCCUUGCCUGAUUUUCAGACUAAACUGAGACGAUGUGCCAUUAAGCAUUUGUAUUCAUGAAUAUUUAAACAUAUUUGUUCUUGUAUUGAUUUUGUGCAAUGCCUUUGGGCAUUCCUAGCAGGACUCCCUAUGUAAACAUAAGUGAGUGACUUAUGGGGGGCAGGGUUUGAGAAAUCCAUAAAUAUGUAUUUAC
ensembl:lncRNA